AAAUAUACUAUGGUGUCCGUUUAUGCGGAAUAAUAGGGAAAAAAGUUAAAUUCUUUUACGGUGCCGCCGCUGUGCUGGCUUUUAUAAUCGUCUUUUUGUGCCACUGUAUUUUUUUGCGGGAAGGCAAGACGACAGCCUCAGUCAGAAGACCUGCCAUAAGUAUC
rnacentral:ncRNA from 1 species